UCCAUGGCAAGUGCUUGGAGCCACGAAGUCAUGUUGUCAGCCCCAGAAAUAACCAAGAAUUAAAGUAUGGGAUGUUUUAAACAUUUUAAAUGGAUAAAACUUCAACUGAUGGUAAAUUUGAUACACCUGGGGAAAAAAAUCUAAGACUUCAUGUGAAAAUGCAUUACAGAUCAAAUGUAUUGGAGAAAGCCCCUGAUUUCUAUGUCUCAGCUUCCUCGAGCAAUCGUCCGUAAAUCAUAAAGGAGAUUGGCUGUUUUCUAAGUUCCUCGACUGGAAAUCUAGUCAGUUUAAAACAAUUAGGAUUUGCAAGCUGUUCCAUAAAAGAUAAGCACCCAGCAUCAAGGGUGAUAUUUCACAAAGACUGCCUGGUGCACAUUAAGAGGGUGACUGCUUCUAUAGCCUCCAUGGGCCUCAGCUGUCCCUACCCCAGGCAACUGUCCUCAAAAGGAUGUUCAAGCCAUAGAGCUUGGGGGUGAAGUUCACCCUUCAGGUGAAAAAGUCACCAAGUUGGCGAAGGUUGUCGUGUACAAACAGCUGUCGAUUAGAGAAUAUCAGGAGGAGUGAAAAUACACUCCUAUGUCAUCCAGACGCCCAUGUGGUACAGCCCAGCCUGAAAAUCCCUAGUAACUGGUACUAUAAAACUAAAAACCACCUGUACGUUCCUAUGCUGUUUCUGUUAGAUGCAAUCAGUUUUAGGAAGAAGCAGUGAGAUUUGCUAGGUGCUAGGCACUACGCCAAAGGCUUUGCAUAAUCCUGACUGACGAGGACACUGCAACAUCUAGCUCUGCCUAACAUGCCCAGUCCAUUAAAGCAACACAGAAUGCAGCGGGGAUUCAAAAUUUGAUGUUUCUACUAAUUAAUUCCGAAACGGGGUGGCUAACCACUAUGACCUGGGCAUCUCCUAACUUAGCAGAGGAAAAUCUGCUAGUGACUAGAGGACAGAAAUAAGCACCAAAUAUACCCCUUGGGGCAGUCAAGCCAAAGUCAGACAACCUGAAGCUUAUGGGAGGGAGCCUCGGACAAGGUGCUCCAAAGCCAGGACAAGGCGCGUUAAGUGAGGUGGCCAGGACCUGACCGUGGACGACCUGCUGAGGGAUGCAAACACGCCAUGGCCCCCAGGUCACCAAAAACUGCACCCACAGUCCUUGCCCACCCCACACACCCCGGCAGCUCUUGUGUCUCCACCCUAGGAGAAGGGGAAGUGGGACACAAAAGUCUGCAGGGGAAAAUAAGAGAAAGGACAAGAGAACAGAUAAGGGCAGGUACCUUAGAUCCAAGGUGACUCCAAGUUCUUAACGCCGGAUCAUCGCCGAGGCCCCACCCGGCUCCCGCGGCUACCUGCGACCCCGAAGGUGCAACUGACCCAACGCUGCCUCGCAACCGACUCCGCUCACCCGGGACUCGCAGCUAUGGCAACUUGAACUAGCCGCCCAGGCGCGGCUAGAGAGCACAGGACGCGCCGCCGCCGCUUGGCCCUCUGGGAUCUAUAGUCCAUCCCACACUCCAGAGCCGAGAGAUGUGACAAGAAAUACAGGAAAUGACAGGAGAUAAACUACAAGUCCCAGCAUGCUCUGAGCAGGGCCUCUACUUGCCUUUCCCGGAAGAAACUGGAUAAGCGGUCUUUACAGACUUGGAGCCCUGCCUUCUUGCCCCGCUCUAAUUUUGUUUUUUUUAAAGGGCCAGUAGCCUGCGAAGCCGCAAACUCCUGGUAGAAAGUGAAUUCAAAAGUCCCGCGACACUGAGUGUAAUUUUACUCAUUAAGAAACAUCAAGGAUAAAUAAUAACCAACAGUGAGAUUUUAAAAUCGCUUUAACGUCUUAUUCUAAUAGCUUAAGACUUGGAGAGGAGUAAAGAAGUUUAUCAAGCAAAA